UUCAUGUGGAGGUCAGAGUGUAAGCAGGUGUGAGUGGAUCCAGCAGAAGGAAACAUGGCUACCAAAGUGUUUGAAUCCAUUGGCAAGUUUGGCCUGGCUUUAGCUGUUGCAGGAGGCGUGAUGAACUCUGCCUUAUAUAAUGUGGAUGCUGGGCACAGAGCUGUCAUCUUUGACCGAUUCCAUGGUGUACAGGACAUUGUGGUAGAGGAAGGAACUCACUUUCUCAUUCCUUGGGUUCAGAAACCAAUUAUCUUUGAUUGCCACUCUCGACCACGUAAUGUGCCAGUCAUCACUGGUAGCAAAGAUUUGCAGAAUGUCAGCAUCACACUGCGCAUCUUUUUCCAACCUGCUGCUAGUCAGCUUCCUCGAAUCUUCACCAGCAUUGGAGAGGACUAUGAUGAACGAGUGCUGCCAUCCAUCACCACAGAGAUCCUCAAGUCAGUGGUGGCUCGCUUUGAUACUGGCAAACUGACCACCCAGAGAGAGCUGGUCUCCAGGCAGGUGAGCAAUGACCUUACAGAGGGAGCAGCAACCUUUGGGCUCAUCCUGAAUGAUGUGUCCUUGACACAGCUGACCUUUGGGGAGGAGUUCACAGAAGUGGUGGAAGCCAAACAGUUGGCUCAGCAGGAAGCAGAGAAGGCCAGAUUUGUGGUGGAAAAGGCUGAACAGCAAAAGAGAGCCGCCAUCAUCUCUGCCGAGGGUGACUCUAAGGCAGCUGAGCUGAGUGCCAACUCACUGGCCACUGCAGGUGAUGGCCUGAUUGAGCUGCGCAAGCUGGAAGCUGCCGAGGACAUAGCAUACCAGCUCUCACGCUCUCGAACAUCACUCACCUGCCAGCGGGGCAGUCCGUGCUCUUCCAGCUGCCCCAGUGA